GAACACGAUUUAGAAUUGCGAAGUCAAGUGGGUCUCCUUCGGGGGACGGCUUGGGGAAAUUCCCCGGACACCAGGGCAGAGAGUGCCAGCGUUAAAGCGCAGAUCCCCUCGUGAUGAAGCUUGGCGGAGAUGGUCGUUUUCGGCCGGAGCUGCGUUGGAUUCGCGAGGAUUGAUGGUCAUACUAAAAGUUAUGCAAUUGGCUCAGUGGCACAUGGCGGACGUCGUGCCGUCGCUGCUUGGAGCUAACCCGACGGGGAUUACUCAUGUUGUGUU
rnacentral:RNase_MRP_RNA from 1 species